AGAGUUUGAUCAUGGCUCAGGAUGAACGCUGGCGGCGUGCCUAAUACAUGCAAGUCGAGCGGUAAGGCCCCUUCGGGGGUACACGAGCGGCGGACGGCUGAGUAACGCGUAGGAACGUACCCCAAAGUGAGGGAUAACUGCUCGAAAGAGUAGCUAAUACCGCAUGUGGUCUUCGGAUUAAAGCUUCGGCGCUUUGGGAGCGGCCUGCGUAUGAUUAGAUUGUUGGUGAGGUAAUGGCUCACCAAGUCGACGAUCAUUAGCUGGUCUGAGAGGAUGAUCAGCCAGACUGGGACUGAGAACGGCCCAGACUCCUACGGGAGGCAGC
rnacentral:rRNA from 1 species